CGUAUAAUAUUUUGGAGAGGGGUUUAUGCUGAAUGGUGGAAACCUAGAAUUAGAACAAAAAGGAGAUAGAAAGGAGAAGCAGAAAUCUAGACUCUUGGAAGGAGAAUCAAGGGAUGUCUGAUGUUAUCAACCAAGUUUAGGCCAAGAAAACUCAGAGGUAAGAUUUUGAUUAUGCUAUAUCUAAGUUUUAAGUCUGAAUUUUAGUUAAGGAAGGUGAAUUGAGAUAAGUUGGUGGCUGGUUUUAUGUAAUUUCAGAAUUUGGAAACCAAGGGGGAAGAAGGUCAAGAGCUGGAGGUUGAACCUAUCACUUAAGGUAAGGUCUCUGUAUGUUUAUUAGAUUUGUUUUGUUAAGGUUUAGGGAGUUUGAAGUGUGGGUUGUGCUUGAAUUCAAGCUGUGCAUAACUUUUCUGGUUUGAGUUGUCAAGUGGGAAUUCAAGAGUGAAUUUUAGGAUUGAAGGUGUGAGUGAGCUUAGGCAUGAUGUCUUUGGGUUGUUGUGAGGUUUGUUAGGGGUUUAGAGUUGGUUUUGGGACUUAGGAUAGAGUUUGGGGUGAAUUGGUGAGGUUGGAGCUCGGGAAAAUGCGAAGGAAAACCCAGAAAUCUGGGUCUGCGAUGGUGUGCCGCGGCACGGCUUCUGCUUGCCGCGGCCUAGGGGUCUCUGGAGGUGGGUGCCGCGGCACAAGGCAAAAUUCAGGGAGUGAUAUUUUGCAAUUUUUGACCUUUGCUCCGGGGGUUCGGGGGAUGUCUCCGGGAUGUUGCUCUAGGGUUUUGGGGGUUCCGAGAGUGUGGAUUAGGUACCGGGAAGGUAGUCUUGGAUUGGUUAAUGACAAGGAAUAUUAUAUUUGUGUUUGAUUAGGACUUUGGAGAAGCUCGGGAUAGAGGACCGUGCUUGUGGCUACGUGAUAUCGGAAACCAGCGAAUUGAAAGGUAAGGGUAAGGGCAAGCUGGACCAGGCCUGAGGUGGAGAGCUCCGAGGUGAAAUGUACAUAGCCAGCCGUUCGAUCACCACGGUCGAGGAGUGUGUCAGGACGGAGAUUACCUAACCACUCAUUUUGCCUUAGUAUGGCUGUUGAUGUAUAUAGACUUUGUAACUUUUGUAAAUGACUUUUAAACUGUCAUUUUUGGGAUCCCUUGUACAUAAACAAUGUUUAGUAAUGAAAAUGUAUCUUUU